rnacentral:rRNA from 1 species
AUUGAACGCUGGCGGCAGGCCUAACACAUGCAAGUCGAACGGUAACAGGAAACAGCUUGCUGUUUCGCUGACGAGUGGCGGACGGGUGAGUAAUGUCUGGGAAACUGCCUGAUGGAGGGGGAUAACUACUGGAAACGGUAGCUAAUACCGCAUAACGUCGCAAGACCAAAGAGGGGGACCUUCGGGCCUCUUGCCAUCAGAUGUGCCCAGAUGGGAUUAGCUAGUAGGUGGGGUAACGGCUCACCUAGGCGACGAUCCCUAGCUGGUCUGAGAGGAUGACCAGCCACACUGGAACUGAGACACGGUCCAGACUCCUACGGGAGGCAGCAGUGGGGAAUAUUGCACAAUGGGCGCAAGCCUGAUGCAGCCAUGCCGCGUGUAUGAAGAAGGCCUUCGGGUUGUAAAGUACUUUCAGCGGGGAGGAAGGGAGUAAAGUUAAUACCUUUGCUCAUUGACGUUACCCGCAGAAGAAGCACCGGCUAACUCCGUGCCAGCAGCCGCGGUAAUACGGAGGGUGCAAGCGUUAAUCGGAAUUACUGGGCGUAAAGCGCACGCAGGCGGUUUGUUAAGUCAGAUGUGAAAUCCCCGGGCUCAACCUGGGAACUGCAUCUGAUACUGGCAAGCUUGAGUCUCGUAGAGGGGGGUAGAAUUCCAGGUGUAGCGGUGAAAUGCGUAGAGAUCUGGAGGAAUACCGGUGGCGAAAGCGGCCCCUGGACAAAACUGACGCUCAGGGGCGAAAGCGUGGGAGCAACAGGGUAUAUACCCUAGUAUUCAAAGGGAAUGCAGCGGUGUAUCGGCUGGCGCGACCGUGGACGCAGGGGGGGGCGGGAGCCGGGUGUAGUUUUUUCCCAGAGAUCAAAAAAAACGGCCUUUUAAGAAGUACGAGGUGCAAGAUUUUAUUGU